rnacentral:lncRNA from 1 species
GCAUAUGGAUAUUUUCUUCAAAAUAGGUUUAUGUGGAAGCAUCCAAAGAAGAGAGGGAAAGCACCGCAAUAAGUGAUAUGCAAUUUGGAAGCUCAACAAAAGAUUAUUAAGAAAUUUUAUGAAAUCUUAUGGGCACAACAUUGAGGCAUUGAGGCAUUUGGGCAAUAUUUACUAAAUUGAAAGAAAAUAUUGGUAGAAGGGUAUGGACAAAGAUGUAGUAAAUUUUGUAAGAUCUUAUGAGACUUAUCAAGUAUAUUCAAACAUUUGACAUUGAAAUGGAUUACAUCCAAUAUAUCCUCUAGCUUUACAUUAUAAGUAGGUAGUAGAUUUAAUAGCAAUGCUUAUCAGAUUUAG